CAGUCGUACCUGCGGGUAAUCAGCCUUUUGGGCAUGAUUCUGUGGAGCGUGAGGAGUUAAACGCCUUCAUGCCUGCAUAUUCGUGUACUUUGGGUGUACUUGCCUGUGUGGUUAGUUAACAUCAAUUUUGGUUAUCAUAAAAUGACUGGAGGAAUGUAGCUUCGAUCUCGUAUUGAAGUGUUAUAGCCUUUGGUAGAUGUGAUUGUUUGAGACCGAGGAUUGCAACGGAUACCCUUUAGGGCUAUUCGUCUGAUCUCUGAUACGUUGCCUUGA
rnacentral:rRNA from 1 species